AAGGGUAUAGCUCAGUGGUAGAGUGCGUGCUUAGCAUGCAUGAGGUCCUGGGUUCAAUCCCCAGACUCUCC
rnacentral:tRNA from 1 species